rnacentral:rRNA from 1 species
UACGUAGGGGGCAAGCGUUGUCCGGAUUUACUGGGCGUAAAGAGCGCGCAGGCGGUCGUUCAAGUCGCGUGUGAAAGCCCCCGGCUCAACUGGGGAGGGUCACGCGAUACUGAUCGACUCGAAGGCAGGAGAGGGUAGUGGAAUUCCCGGUGUAGUGGUGAAAUGCGUAGAUAUCGGGAGGAACAUCCAGUGGCGAAGGCGGCUGACCUG